GAUGAACGCUGGCGGCGUGCCUAAUACAUGCAAGUCGAGCGAACGGACGAGAAGCUUGCUUUUCUGAUGUUAGCGGCGGACGGGUGAGUAACACGUGGAUAACCUACCUAUAAGACUGGGAUAACUUCGGGAAACCGGAGCUAAUACCGGAUAAUAUUUUGAACCGCAUGGUUCAAAAGUGAAAGACGGUCUUGCUGUCACUUAUAGAUGUAUCCGCGCUGCAUUAGCUAGUUGGUAAGGUAACGGCUUACCAAGGCAACGAUGCAUAGCCGACCUGAGAGGGUGAUCGGCCACCCUGGAACUGAGACACGGUCCAGACUCCUACGGGAGGCAGCAGUAGGGAAUCUUCCGCAAUGGGCGAAAGCCUGACGGAGCAACGCCGCGUGAGUGAUGAAGGUCUUCGGAUCGUAAAACUCUGUUAUUAGGGAAGAACAUAUGUGUAAGUAACUGUGCACAUCUUGACGGUACCUAAUCAGAAAGCCACGGCUAACUACGUG
rnacentral:rRNA from 1 species